rnacentral:rRNA from 1 species
AGAGUUUGAUCCUGGCUCAGAUUGAACGCUGGCGGCAGGCCUAACACAUGCAAGUCGAGCGGCAGCGGAAAGUAGCUUGCUACUUUGCCGGCGAGCGGCGGACGGGUGAGUAAUGUCUGGGGAUCUGCCUGAUGGAGGGGGAUAACUACUGGAAACGGUAGCUAAUACCGCAUAACCUCGCAAGAGCAAAGUGGGGGACCUUCGGGCCUCACGCCAUCGGAUGAACCCAGAUGGGAUUAGCUAGUAGGUGGGGUAAUGGCUCACCUAGGCGACGAUCCCUAGCUGGUCUGAGAGGAUGACCAGCCACACUGGAACUGAGACACGGUCCAGACUCCUACGGGAGGCAGCAGUGGGGAAUAUUGCACAAUGGGCGCAAGCCUGAUGCAGCCAUGCCGCGUGUGUGAAGAAGGCCUUC